UUGAGCUCUGCGGCGUGCGUCUCUCUCUGCUUGUCGUGCAGAGACUUGUUAACGGUCUAUUGGACCGCUGAAUAAUAUUUUCUUCCAACAAUAACGUUUUUCAGCAUGCUGAGGUGUAAUGAAUGCGACGACUGCAAGUCAUAUAGCUGCAUGUCCUACCAUACUAUGUACUCAAGAAGAGUCUGGCUUUAAUGGCACGCACUGCAGAUGACGAAGGUGAUAAUUUCCUCUGAAAGGCCAGCAUAGCUUGGAAUGACAUUCAAGUAAAAAACUGUGAAGGUGGUGUGAAGGAGGUCCCCUGCGCUGGUAAGUUUUAGUGUGGUAGGUACUACUGCUGUUCAGUAUUAAUAUUUCAUUCAUAUGUAUCCCGUCGAUGAUAAGUGGUGUCAGUGUUGAGUUCUAAUGCUGUUGUUAGUAAGUUGAGUAAGUUGUAAGUUGUUAGUAAGUGAUCAGUGGUGUGCACAGCACAGUGGAAAAGACCAUGAAAAAGCGCUGCUCCACUUCCACAAAGGAAGAAAGUACUAUGCAAAUUGCAAGGAAGAGAAGGGUAACAGUUGAACAAAAGGGUAGGUACAAUGCAGUCCCCAUUAUUUUCUUCUGUUACAUCACAUCACAGCGCUGGACAAAAGUUUGCGGAACACGCUUCGGAGCAUAUCUUCCUCAGCGUGACACGCCAUCAGCGAACAGAUGACUGGGUUACCUAGGCACAUGUCUGUAAGUUCAUGCAACCCCAUUAGCUGCUAGCGUGUCUCUCUGAGGAAGGCGCCGGAGCGUGUUCCAUAAACUUUUGUGUAGCACUGUACUAGCAUCAAUCAAUUUUUCCACACGUAUGAUUCAAACCAUUCAUUUUCCUAGCACUGUUUGUUUGGCAUACGAAAUGGUUAAUUAGAAAAAUAUUUGACAUAUGAUAGCAUCACAUAUCGCCACUGCGUGGACUCUCAUUGCCUAUAUUUAUGUUGCAGAUUAUUACACAGCAGAAGUAAUUUAUGUCUUUGCUCAUCUGGUGAGGGAGAUCAAUCUGACCUGUUCACUUGUGAAAGCUGCAACAGAUGAACAAGCUGGAGAUUCACUCGCACACCAAUAUGCACAUCCCAAACACUGUGAUUUCUGCCAGUCUGGGAUGGCACACACAUUCUUACAGCAUAUGGUUUUUACAGUGCAUCCUACUAUCUGUCCCAUCCUUAUAUUUAAGGAAGUAAAAUGUUUGCAAAUAAGCAAGUUUUGAAUUUUGGUGUGUAUGUGCUCUGUUUGAUAUGAUUCUUCUCUAAUUUUCAGUAACGAAAAAAUUACUCUGCCUCUUAGAUUAAUAGGCCUACAUUGCAUACUUGACUGAUACUACUUGAGAAGGCCAUAUAGAAAGGAAUGUAACAUAACUUCGUAAUAUAUCGCUAUGAUUUCUCUCCCCUUAGCGGUGUCGCUUAAGGCAAACAUGAUCUAUACCUCACAAAAAUGCUCACAGAAGACCCAUUCAAGUUCCAGUCCUGCUGUAUCACAGUGAAGGGACAGCCUGUCCAGUAAAUGACCGCAUUCAAACGUCACAAAGACUUUAACCUGAAGUAUUUUGCAUUGGUUAGGGAACGCUUUAGGUGCCGUUAAACACUUUAGAUCCUAACUUGUUGUUUCUAGUCAUAUGAUUAUGUUCCAUGUACAUAGCGUGUAAUGUGCAUUGUAAUGUUCAACUUCUGUUCUGUAUCAGAGGCACAAUAAAUGUAUGUUUU